UACGGGGGGGGCAAGCGUUGUUCGGAAUUACUGGGCGUAAAGCGCGUGUAGGCGGGUCUUUAAGUCAGGGGUGAAAUGCCAAGGCUCAACCUUGGAACUGCCUUUGAUACUGGAGAUCUUGAGUCCGGGAGAGGUGAGUGGAAUUGCGAGUGUAGAGGUGAAAUUCGUAGAUAUUCGCAAGAACACCAGUGGCGAAGGCGGCUCACUGGCCCGGAACUGACGCUGAGACGCGAAAGCGUGGGGAGCAAACAGG
rnacentral:rRNA from 1 species